rnacentral:rRNA from 1 species
UACAGAGGGGGCGAGCGUUAUUCGGAAUUAUUGGGCGUAAAGGGCGCGUAGGCGGCCUUUCAAGUGACGGGUGAAAUCCCUCGGCUUAACCGAGGAACUGCCUGUCAGACUGGAAGGCUUGAGACCGGGAGAGGUGAGUGGAAUUCCCAGUGUAGCGGUGAAAUGCGUAGAUAUUGGGAGGAACACCAGUGGCGAAGGCGGCUCACUGGACCGGAACUGACGCUGAGGCGCGGAGGCCAGGGGAGCAAAGCGGG